CAAUAGCGUAUAUUAACGUUGUUGCAGUUAAAAAGCUCGUAGUUGGAUUUCUGGAGGGAGCGUCGGCCCGUAUUUACGAGUGCGUGGCGUCUCUGUCCAUCCUUGCGGGAAGGCACGGCAUUGAUUUGUUGUGUCGGAUCGCAUCAUUUACUGUGAAAAAAUUAGAGUGUUCAAAGCAGGCUUUCGCUUGAAUACAUUAGCAUGGAAUAAUAAGAUAGGACUUUGGUGCUAUUUUGUUGGUUGAGCCUAAAGUAAUGAUUAAUAGGGAUAGUUGGGGGCACCUGUAUUGCGUUGUCAGAGGUGAAAUUCUUGGAUUUACGCAAGACAAACAGCUGCGAAAGCGUCUGCCAAGGAUGUUUUCAUUAA
rnacentral:rRNA from 1 species